rnacentral:tRNA from 1 species
GCGGAUUUAAGUUAAGUUUAAACUGUUAGUUUUCAAAACUGAUAAUUUUUGUUCGUG